rnacentral:lncRNA from 1 species
UGGUAAUGUAUUAUAGUAAUAUCAGCUAUUAAUUUUCAAUUUUAUAAAAUCGCAUUUCUGAGAUCCAUUCACAUUGGAACGUCGUAGCUAUAGAUUUAAAUAUAGAUGACAUAGUAUUUAAUAUUUUGUGCUUUUGCUUUACACUGCACUUUCAUUUCCCAUUUUCCACGUCAAGCUAAAAUAGCAUUUUACUCUUAUUCUUUUCUAUUAAAGUCUUCUUUGCACAUAUAUACUUGUGAAUAUGUUCCAGAAUUUUCUAGAAUAUAAAAGGAGAAACAAAACUACUAGGCUUUAAAGAAUUUUUUUUAAAUUUUCUAUUUAUUUACUUUUUUGAGGUAGAGUUUCACUCUUGUCUCCCAGGCUGGAGUGUGGUGGUGCAAUCACAGCUCAGGACAAUCUCCGCCUCUGGGUUCAGAUAUGCCUCUGGGGACCCAAAUCUUGGGAUACAGCUGAGUGAAAAGCCGUUUGGAGUUUAUACCUACCUAUGUUCUGAUGGUAUGGAAUUAUUUCAAAACCCAAUGAGGAGGUAUGCAUAUGGUAGGUCUUGA